rnacentral:rRNA from 1 species
AGCGAACGCUGGCGGCAGGCUUAACACAUGCAAGUCGAGCGCCCCGCAAGGGGAGCGGCAGACGGGAGAGUACCACGUGGGAACAUACCUUUUGGUUCGGAACAACUGAGGGAAACUUCAGCUAAUACCGGAUAAGCCCUUACGGGGAAAGAUUUAUCGCCGAAAGAUUGGCCCGCGUCUGAUUAGCUAGUUGGUGAGGUAACGGCUCACCAAGGCGACGAUCAGUAGCUGGUCUGAGAGGAUGAUCAGCCUCACUGGGACUGAGACACGGCCCAGACUCCUACGGAAGGCAGCAGUGGGGAAUAUUGGACAAUGGGGGCAACCCUGAUCCAGCCAUGCCGCGUGAGUGAUGAAGGCCUUAGGGUUGUAAAGCUCUUUUGCCCGGGAAGAUAAUGACGGUACCGGGAGAAUAAGCCCCGGCUAACUUCG